GUUUCUAUGGCAACAGCAAAAUCUUUUACAAAGUAGCUGUCUUUUUCCCAGUUAUACUUAUCCAUUUGCUGCAUUUAAAUGAAACUAACUCUACAGAACUGUGCUUGUAGCUCCAGAAAUCAUGAUACCGCUGUACUUAUAUUAUCUUGGCAAGUACAGAAGAGCCAAACCCAAUCAGCGAACUGAGAAAUUAUCACAAGUCCAUAGCAGGAACAAGGCUAAACUUGGAAAUGGCUGCGAUUAUGUUCCUCUUCAAGACUCAGACUCUUCAAAAUUAACGAGGAAUUGGCCAUGGCUGAUGAUCCCACAAAUGCCAUCCUGAAUUUCCACAUCCGGUACCAGAAACUGAGAUCUGAAAGAAAGAGAUUAACCAAAAGAACAUAAUGACAUUUAAGGGAGGUUCACCUCAGAAAACUGGUUCGACACUAGCAGUCAACUCAGGAGGUUUAAAAGUAACCUGCUGUAUUACAAAAGAUAUGGGGGGAACAAAAUGGUGGGAAGUUAGUACAGAACACUACAAAUGAAGCAGCUGCUGCUAUCUGAAAAGGCCUGGUAACAGUUUUGCUUUCUCUACAUGAUAUUAGUAAGCAACACUUUCCUGAACUCAUCAGCACCUGUGACUUAAUGCAAUGUACUUUAUCGGUUGGCUUCGGAGACACAGCAUUUGGAAAAAAAAACCUCAUUGCUCACUAUUCCUUAGAUGCUUAUAUCAAAUAGAAAUAGCUAUUGGAGUGUCUUCACGUGACAGCUGAAGUCUAUGUAGGUCUAUGAAUCAGCAGCAGUCUUGUUGAAUCACAGGUGCAUGAACAGCAGGUUAACAUGAAUUACUUUUUUUUAACAUACAUAUUGACAAAAGCAUGCUCUCUGAACUGAUGAGAAACUAUAGAAAAACUUGAAAAGUGAAAGACAAUAGUGAUGGAAGGAAAAAAAGGAUUUCUUCAUUUAUUUUUCCUGUUUCAUAUUUCACUAAACUCACCUCCAGUUCAUACUGUAUUAUAUUCUGUUUGUGAGACAGAGUAUUCAAGUUGGUACACCUGCCACCAAACCAUGGAAAGAAGCAACACAUAUCUUCUUAAAGGAUCUGAGUUAUUUUAGUUUGGAAGCACAAAGAAGAACUCUUACAAUACUUAAAUAAGGGGAUGAGUUUUUUAAACUAACAGGUGUAAAUAUGUUGUGAAAUUCUUUCUCCAUAAUGUUUUUUCGUUAGUUGGAAACAAUUUUAUGUUCAAUGUAAUUAUAAAUAUAGCUUCAUCGCCAUGUGUCUGAAACAGAUCACCUUACAAGAAUGUACCAGUGGCCAUUAUUAGAAG
rnacentral:lncRNA from 1 species